rnacentral:rRNA from 1 species
AACGAACGCUGGCGGCAGGCCUAACACAUGCAAGUCGAGCGAGGACUUCGGUCUUAGUGGCGGACCUGUGGGUAACGCGGGGGGAUGUGCCCUUGUCUACGCAAUAUCGCUGGGAAACUGAGAUUAAUACCGUAGACGCUCUUUCGGGGAAAGAUCUAUCGGAGAAGGGUCGGCUCGCGUUGGAUUAGGUAGUUGGUGGGGUAAUGGCCUACCAAGGCGUCGUUGCAUAGCUGGUUUGGGAGGAGGAUCAGCCACACUGGGACUGAGACACGGCCCAGACUCCUACGGAAGGGGGCAGUGGGGAAUCUGAGAGAAUGGGGGCAACCCUGAUAGAGCCAGGCCGGGUAAGUCAUGAAGCGCUUAGGGUUGUACAGCGCUUUCAGCUGGGGAGUUAAUGACGGUACUAGCAGAAGAAGCACCGGCUAACUCCGUG